GAUAAUUGAGUUGCGUUGCAUGUGAAUAUCCAGUGAAAUAGAUGUGUGAGGAAUUAUGACUGUGGUUAUGAUGCUAAGCAGGAUGUAUGAAUGAAUUGUGUGUGAGAAAGCAUGUGUGUGAGGUAUUGAGCUCCAGAGUUUCCAUUAUUAUAUGUAUGGUUCAUAGGAAGGCAUGAAUUAUAUUGUCUGAAUCUUGAUGAUUGAUUGAAUUGCAUGUGAAUGUUAUAUGAUAAAGGCCAUGUUUGAAAAACCCUUCUUUAGCCAAAGUUUCACCCACAGUGCUUAAAAUAUUAUACCCUUUUUGAACCUUAGCCUUAAACAGGAUGUGAACCCUUGUCUUGAAAUUCUUUACCUUGAGUUGGGUUGAGUUUAACUGUAUGUGUUGAAAAGGUUCAAGUUUGGGGUUGUAUGAGGGAAAAUUGAAAAGCAUUGAGCUCAAAUGUUGUGAAAAAAAAAAAAGAAAUGCAUGAGAAAAAGAAAAGAAAAAAAGAAAAAGCAUGAAGAAGAGCUCAAUGCAAAAGAAAAAGGGAGAAGUUGGGAAAUAAGUGAGAUUGGUGAGGAAGAGAGUUGGGUUUAAAUGUUGAACAAUAUGAUUGCUCUCUUAACUCAAGGAUGUUGCAUUCCAGAAAAACCAAUUUUUCUUGUUAGC
rnacentral:lncRNA from 1 species